CCUACGUGAGGUAGCAGUGAGGAAUAUUGGUCAAUGGGCGGAAGCCUGAACCAGCCAAGUAGCGUGCAGGAUGACGGCCCUACGGGUUGUAAACUGCUUUUAUACGGGAAUAACGCGCCUUACGUGUAGGGCUUUGCAUGUACCGUAUGAAUAAGGACCGGCUAAUUCCGUGCCAGCAGCCGCGGUAAUACGGAAGGUCCGGGCGUUAUCCGGAUUUAUUGGGUUUAAAGGGAGCGUAGGCCGCAUGUCAAGCGUGCUGUGAAAUGUCCGGGCGCAACCCGGGCCUUGCAGCGCGAACUGGCGUGCUUGAGUCCGCGGAAAGCAGGCGGAAUUCGUAGUGUAGCGGGGAAAUGCUUAGAUAUGACGAAGAACCCCGAUUGCGAAGGCAGCUUGCUGCAGCGGAACUGACGCUGAUGCUCGAAAGCGCGGGUAUCGAACAGGAUUAGAUACCCGGGUAGUC
rnacentral:rRNA from 1 species